rnacentral:rRNA from 1 species
CACCCGCCCCGAGUUAAUGUGAUAGCGGCCUAAAAGAUGGUAAACCGACAAUUAGGGGUAGCUUAGUGAGGGGUUUACAAAUCGGGUUGAAUCGAGUAAACCGAGAUCCGCUUUGGAGAUAAGCAGGGGGGUGAAGGCCAUGUGACCUAGGCAAAGGACCAGGAUUAGAUACCCUGUUACUCUAGGCGUUAAGUACAAGCCAGCUUAGUGGUUUUGCCGGGCAACUACGUUCUAACGAGUAAAAGCCAAAGUACCUGGCGGUUUAAGAUAUCUCGUCUCGUGAGACUUGACGGUUAAUCCGAUGAUCCGCGUUACACCCUACCCGUUUUAGCGAGUGGUCCUACAGUUGGUGUAUGGUCGUUGUCAGCUCUUGUUGUGAGGCGCUGAGGAAUGGAAGCAUAAUUCGUUGGAACCGCUAGUAUUAUGAGGGGGUGGACUGUGGAACGCAGUGUUUAGAACGAGUGAAGUCAGAUCGUUAUGCCGCCAAAAAAUGGGGCUUAGUUGAGUCACAUUGAUUAGAUCAAACGGAAACUCUCUUGAAAUAGGGGGUGGAAGAAGGAGUGAGUAGUAGUAGGGAAAUAGUACGUCUCUACGAAUAGUAAAUUCUUAAGUGUACAGAUCGCCC